GAUGAACGCUAGCUACAGGCUUAACACAUGCAAGUCGAGGGGAAACGAUAUUGGAAGCUUGCUUCCGACAGGCGUCGACCGGCGCACGGGUGAGUAACGCGUAUCCAACCUGCCCACCACUUGGGGAUAACCUUGCGAAAGUAAGACUAAUACCCAAUGAUAUCUCUAGAAGACAUCUGAAGGGGAUUAAAGAUUUAUCGGUGAUGGAUGGGGAUGCGUCUGAUUAGCUUGUUGGCGGGGUAACGGCCCACCAAGGCGACGAUCAGUAGGGGUUCGGAGAGGAAGGGCCCCCAGAUUGGAACGGAGAUACGGUCCAAACUCCUACGGGAGGCAGCAGUGAGGAAUAUUGGUCAAUGGGCGAGAGCCUGAACCAGCCAAGUAGCGUGCAGGAUGACGGCCCUAUGGGUUGUAAACUGCUUUUAUAAGGGAAUAAAGUGAGCCUCGUGAGGCUUUUUGCAUGUACCUUAUGAAUAAGGACCGGCUAAUUCCGUGCCAGCCGCCGCAGUAA
rnacentral:rRNA from 1 species